GAUGAACGCUAGCGACAGGCUUAACACAUGCAAGUCGAGGGGCAGCACAGGUAGCAAUACCGGGUGGCGACCGGCGCACGGGUGAGUAACGCGUAUGCAACUUACCUAUCAGAGGGGGAUAACCCGGCGAAAGUCGGACUAAUACCGCAUGAAGCAGGGGCCCCGCAUGGGGAUAUUUGCUAAAGAUUCAUCGCUGAUAGAUAGGCAUGCGUUCCAUUAGGCAGUUGGCGGGGUAACGGCCCACCAAACCGACGAUGGAUAGGGGUUCUGAGAGGAAGGUCCCCCACAUUGGUACUGAGACACGGACCAAACUCCUACGGGAGGCAGCAGUGAGGAAUAUUGGUCAAUGGGCGUAAGCCUGAACCAGCCAAGUCGCGUGAGGGAUGAAGGUUCUAUGGAUCGUAAACCUCUUUUAUAAGGGAAUAAAGUGCGGGACGUGUCCCGUUUUGUAUGUACCUUAUGAAUAAGGAUCGGCUAACUCCGUGCCAGCAGCCGCGGUAAUACGGAGGAUCCGAGCGUUAUCCGGAUUUAUUGGGUUUAAAGGGUGCGUAGGCGGCCUUUUAAGUCAGCGGUGAAAGUCUGUGGCUCAACCAUAGAAUUGCCGUUGAAACUGGGAGGCUUGAGUAUGUUUGAGGCAGGCGGAAUGCGUGGUGUAGCGGUGAAAUGCUUAGAUAUCACGCAGAACCCCGAUUGCGAAGGCAGCCUGCCAAGCCAUGACUGACGCUGAUGCACGAAAGCGUGGGGAUCAAACAGGAUUAGAUACCCUGGUAGUCCACGCAGUAAACGAUGAUCACUAGCUGUUUGCGAUACACAGUAAGCGGCACAGCGAAAGCGUUAAGUGAUCCACCUGGGGAGUACGCCGGCAACGGUGAAACUCAAAGGAAUUGACGGGGGCCCGCACAAGCGGAGGAACAUGUGGUUUAAUUCGAUGAUACGCGAGGAACCUUACCCGGGUUUGAACGCAUUCGGACCGAGGUGGAAACACCUUUUCUAGCAAUAGCCGUUUGCGAGGUGCUGCAUGGUUGUCGUCAGCUCGUGCCGUGAGGUGUCGGCUUAAGUGCCAUAACGAGCGCAACCCUUGCCACUAGUUACUAACAGGUGAUGCUGAGGACUCUGGUGGGACUGCCAGCGUAAGCUGCGAGGAAGGCGGGGAUGACGUCAAAUCAGCACGGCCCUUACAUCCGGGGCGACACACGUGUUACAAUGGCGUGGACAAAGGGAGGCCACCUGGCGACAGGGAGCGAAUCCCCAAACCACGUCUCAGUUCGGAUCGGAGUCUGCAACCCGACUCCGUGAAGCUGGAUUCGCUAGUAAUCGCGCAUCAGCCAUGGCGCGGUGAAUACGUUCCCGGGCCU
rnacentral:rRNA from 1 species